AGCUGCUUAUUCUAGACCAUGUUGUAAAUCACAAUGAUACUAAAGAAAUACCAUUUUAGUUCUGAACCAUUUUAAUUCCCAUAUCAGUCAAGUUGUUUUUUUUUUAAUUUUCUAAUCCCUUUUAGUAUUACCUUUUAUUCAACACCUUUUGAAUAUUUAACUGAUUUUGUCACUAAUGAAAACUUUAGGGGCUAAAGAGCCAGGGCAUUUUAUUAUGGAGCACAAAUGUGAUAUAGACAUGUGCAUAUGAGCAACUUACGUUUUCAUGCUAUGUUUUAUGGAGACACUCAGGUCUGGUUUGCAACAGGUUUAGAUGACCCAAGCCUCUGCUUACAAAGAUGCACCAAAGAGCUUCAUACAAGGUUAUGAAGAAAGCAUUCAACGAGUGAUGGAGAAAAAGGAUAAUUCUGAACCUAAUCAACAAAAUGUUAACCCAAAAAAGUUAACCUGAUCAAUCUUUGAGCUGCAUACUACCAAACUCCAUAGAUGAGGAAAGUGAUGAACUCUCAGACCAUUGAUCGAUUGAACAACGGUUGAUACUUGAUUCUUUACUCAUAAGUCAUAUCUAACAAAAACAGUUUUUUUUACCAGGUAAAGAGAAUGACCUAAGAAUCAACACAAGUUUGUUCGACAUUAUAUGUGUACACAAUAAAUCGUAUUUUGUUGGUAGUGGAUAGAUUGCAGCCUUUAUUUUGUAGCAACUUAGAUUGCAAGUUAUAGAGGUUGCAAUUUCUCGAUCGUGGCUUACAUUUUGUAACGGGUCGUAACAAGUCAGAUUGGAUGUCCAAUUUUAUUAGGAACCAGUCAUAUUGUAGCUUCCGUUUACUUGGUAAUGAGUCUACAUGAAGUGAAAAAAAAAAACUAUCACAACACUUUACUUGGUAACGGGUUUAGGCGUUUUCCCUAUGCUUCUUUUUAGAUCGACGAUCAGUAAUGAUGUUAUGUGCUUUGUACGACACGUAUCCAACUUUAUCACCAAUGUAUAUCCAUGUCAGGAUGCCCAGGUCAUAGAGCGAAGAAGGAAAUAGAAGAGAGAAGGGGCAGGAAGCUCUAAGAGAAGGAGAGAGGGGGCGAGAUACAAGAUAAAGGUGAUGUUUUAGCUGGGGUGGAGGAGAAUCAUGAAGACUUGGUCAUGGACACAAAGCAAGCCUCUUCAGUUUUUUUAGUUCUAGCAGGUUUCUUUUAAUUUUCUAAAGUAAUUUACAAUGCGCUAAAGUAAUACAUAAGCUGUGAAAAUUGUUAUUUCUGUUUAUGUGUGGUUCUAAUGGCUACAUAUAUAUUUAUUUAAUUAUUAGGUGUCAUAUUAAAUUUGGUUAAAAAAAUUGUAUUUUAUGGACAUGUGUUAAGAGCUUGUCAAAUAUAUGCUCAAAAUGUUUAUUCAUGUGUUAUUCCUAGGAUUAUUAUGUUUGUUAUUAUUUUUGAAAAAACAUGAGUUAAUUUAGUUUGAUGAACAUAGUAUUAGUGGGGAAAAGAAUGAUGGAAUCAAGAGAACAUGAGGAAACUAAAGGCGAAGCGUACGGGUGCUAGAGGAGAUUUAAGGCGAAGCGUACUUGUGUUGUUUUGCCUUUGUGGUUUGUAUGGCAGUCAAAUAGUCAAUCUGUGAAAGUUUUUUAUGGAAAGAUUAACCAAAAUAGUUACUUAUAUAUGCUUAUUUACAGUUUAUAUAUAAAUUUUGGUGCUUUAGUGAUAGUUCAGGUCGGAUAAUGGAUAAACUUUGUAAACGACAGUCAACUACGACCAAUCACAGUCAAGAAUGGUCCAUCUGAAGAGGCAGAUCCAGCAUACAAAAAGCAGGUUGGGUGGUACAUGCUUACACAUGACAAGGCAGGCUUUUGACAUCCUUUUAACAGUUGUAAUGAAGUUAUAGGUCAGUGUAUUUGCAGUAAGUGUGUGUACCAGAAAGAAACCAUAAACCAAAA